AGUGAACGCUGGCGGUAGGCCUAACACAUGCAAGUCGAACGGCAGCACAGUAAGAGCUUGCUCUUACGGGUGGCGAGUGGCGGACGGGUGAGGAAUACAUCGGAAUCUACUUUUUCGUGGGGGAUAACGUAGGGAAACUUACGCUAAUACCGCAUACGACCUACGGGUGAAAGCAGGGGAUCUUCGGACCUUGCGCGAUUGAAUGAGCCGAUGUCGGAUUAGCUAGUUGGCGGGGUAAAGGCCCACCAAGGCGACGAUCCGUAGCUGGUCUGAGAGGAUGGUCAGCCACAAUGGAACUGAGACACGGACCAGACUCCUGAGGGAGGCAGCAGUGGGGAAUGGUGGACAAUGGGCGCAAGGCUGAUCCAGCCAUACCGCGUGGGUGAAGAAGGCCUUCGGGUUGUAAAGCCGUUUUGUUGGGAAAGAAAAGCAGCAGGUUAAUACCCAGCUGUUCUGACGGUACCCAAAGAAUAAGCACCGGCUAACUUCGUG
rnacentral:rRNA from 1 species